UCCCUGCUGACUCAGACAAUAAAGGAUCUGCCUGUAGUGCAGGAGAUCCAGAUUCGAUUCCUGGGUUGGGAA
rnacentral:tRNA from 1 species